rnacentral:antisense_RNA from 1 species
UUGGCAACGAUCUUUAGUCAUGGUGAGACAAAUCAGACCACGGCCAUAUGUCGCCAUAAAGUUGAUGGCUUCCGGCGUAAUUUUUUCUGCUGCAAUGAUGA